CAAAGAACACCACGGGGCACGACGGCUUGACAUUUAAAACCAAUGGGACUGGCUGUCUGGAACUGGAUCUGUAUUCUUCACUCGGCAACAGGUGACGGGCUUCCCCGGAUGUCAUCUGUGUCGUUGGCCUCUGUUCAGAGGCAGCAUUCAGGACCCAGGGAGAGCUGGCUGGCAACAUGCCCGAUCUACAAGUGAGCUGUCCUAUCAUUGACAUCAAGCACAGAAAUGUGUUUUGUAUGAGCCCUGCAUGGCCUGGUAUUCAGGCUACAGUCCAUCUGGUGGACAGCACUGUAAGCUGCAGCGAUGGCGAGCUCUGAUCUCUGGAGCUGGUAAACAGACACCACAAUGGCAAGCUACUUGACUUGUUCUACUUGACUCCUGAACCAUUUUAAUAUCAGGCUGCCAUGGGUUUCCUUCCUGUAAGCCAGCGUCUUCAUAUUUCUGUUUCUGCUCUCCCAGAACGAGAGAUAAAAACUGAGCAUGCUGUUGGUGAAUUCUACCAGUGUAUUAAUAGAGGAAGUGACCGUGUUAAUGGCCCUUUUAAACACCAUGGAGAGUGUGCAGAGAGCACAAAUGUUGAGAAAAUAUUUUGGACUCAUUUGACUAUAAUUUUAUUUAGA